UUAUGAGAAUCCAAGCUCUCUACCCUGAACGCGCCCGAUCUCGUCUGAUCUCGGAAGCUAAGCAGGGUCGGGCCUGGUUAGUACUUGGAUGGGAGAAUCCAAGCUUCCAUAAC
rnacentral:rRNA from 1 species